UGAAAUGAAUGAGUAAAAUAUAUUAAACAUUAAAAUUAAGAAUAUAACCUCCAAAAAUUUAAAAAUUUAAAUUAUUUUCGAGACAUAAUAUUUUACCAUUUUAUUAAAUCAACUAUGGCUUAUGUAUUUUUUACGACGUAUACAUAUUAAAUAAUAAUAUUAAGUCAUAUUAAGUCUUUUUACCCCAUACUAAAAACUUAUAAGUCGACGUAUCAUUCGGUUCAUCGGUAGCUCACUGUUUUAUACGUCUAUUACGUCUUCUUACAUAGAGCGUCGAGACCAUCGGUUGCUGUAUAUCAAUGUUUUAUGAUAAUCCAUGCUACUCUAUGUGUUUAUCGUUUGUCAUGAAAUGACUGUUCCAUUUCCAAAAUAUUAAAACAAAAGUUAUGAGUUUAUGACGCAUCUUAACAAUGUGAAUUUUUUAAAUAAAAAGGGAAUUUUUAAAAUUGUAUUUGUACAAAAACAUAUUAUUUCUCAAAGCAUAAAUUAGAAUCUGUUGAAAAAGAAGUUGCUGGAUUACGUUAUUAUCACAGAAUCUACUAUUAAUACAGAAGAGGAAUUACAAACAUUGGAAGCAAAAUUAAUUAACCGUGAUCAAAACCAUGAAUUCAGGUCUCAAUAUAAAUUGUUGAAAUUACAAUAUAGUCAAUGGGUAAAGAUAUAAAACAUUCAAUUAAACGUAUUAACACAUGGCAUAUCAAAUUGGAUGUUCUGGCUAAAUACUCUAGUUUAACUACUUUUUGGAUAUUACACAUAUUUAUUUAUCUACUACAAUAAAUUCAAAUAUAAAAAAUAUUAUUUUGUGA